rnacentral:rRNA from 1 species
CAGUCGCCGCGGUAAUACGUAGGUGGCAAGCGUUGUCCGGAAUUAUUGGGCGUAAAGGGCUCGCAGGCGGUUUCUUAAGUCUGAUGUGAAAGCCCCCGGCUCAACCGGGGAGGGUCAUUGGAAACUGGGAAACUUGAGUGCAGAAGAGGAGAGUGGAAUUCCACGUGUAGCGGUGAAAUGCGUAGAGAUGUGGAGGAACACCAGUGGCGAAGGCGACUCUCUGGUCUGCAACUGACGCUGAGGAGCGAAAGCGUGGGGAGCGAACAGGAUUAGAGACCCCCGUAGUCCCUGUCUCUUAUAC